GGAUAGCUCAGUUGGUUAGAGUGUGGUGCUGAUAAUGUCAAGGUUGCAGGUUCGAUAUCCGUUUGGGACA